AAGCUUUCUCUCAUCCGUACUUUCGGUCGACGUCCUGACACAUGCGUCUCUCUCCUGUCUCUCCCAUCUUAAUAUUUUGGGUUUUCUAAACCUCCAUCCCUCUCUCUCCUCCUCUGUGUUAAUCGCUUAUCCUGCAUCUCUGCUCUCGCCGGUCUCUCGGUGCUCAAAACCCUAAUGCUAUUUCUUAGUUUGAAUAUCUGCAACUCAAUGUUUGGGACCUUUUAUAAACUCUUCUGCUUUGCUUCAUGGCUUCAAAUCUCACCUUGGUGGUGAUGGAGAACUGUAUAAACCGCUCUCAUGAUCUGUUUAUCAAGUAUUGGGGGAAGCGUUUUAGGUUUGAGUGAUGUCGGGGAGGAGUACUAUUUUUAUCAGGUGUAGAGAGAGACUGGUUCGUGAGAUUUUUCUCUUGCAUAUUUUCAUUCUACUGAAGAAAGCUUAGUGGUGUGGGAGCUUUCUUCUAUGGGUUCCUCAAGGGCAUUGGUGGUAUUCACUCAACAAGAAGCCCCCAUGGAAUCUGGUUUUCAAGGAGAGAGCCAGCCAUUUUCAGGUGAUGGCUUUGUUUAUGACCAGCAGCAACUAAGGGCCUUUUUCUCUGUCUUGACCAUGAUGUAUCUUCUUUUUGGGUGCUUGAUUCUAGGGUUACAGGGUUGGUGUUUUUCAAGUGGUCAGUUAGAGAAGUGUUUUCUUGUUUGUGGUCUUCUUUUCUGAAAUUAAAGAUCGAAGAGUAAUUUUUCGACUGGUUUUGAGGCUCAAUUUUUUUUUUACAACAAGUUCUUAUCUACUGUUUUUUUUUAUUGUAAUACUUCUGCCAAUUUUUCAGGUCAAUAUUUGGGCCUUGCACAGCAUACAGAGAAUUAAAAAGCCAUUGCCACCAAAGAAUGGAAGAAUCAAAUCAUAAACACUAGUUGAAACUUAAAAGGCCAUAUGUAAUGUUUCAUUUCCAUCCUAGAGCCUGCCUUAUACCAGUGUAAAUGAGUCUCAAGGACCUCCCAAUCAAGCAAUCCAGAAAGAAAUACACAUCACUGCUCACUUUAGCUGCUAGUGCUCUACGCAAUGGCAUCGCAAUGUCAUAGAACUCUAGAAACAGGUUGAAAGUACCUCCACCCUGUCAAGGAUCUUAAUUUGGUUCUCCUCUUCAUGGGCAAAGACAUGUCCCUGAUCACAAUAUAAUAAGUUGUUACCAUUGGCUUGCCCAAUAUAAGCUUUCUCCACCAAUUGAUUUUAUCUGAGGAGCUCUUAAUUGGCUUCUUGAUAAUCUGGAUUUGCAAUGAGCACAAAUUUGCUCGGCACCAAUACUUUUUUCAGUUGUAUUGGCUCUAUGCUAAGCUAAGUGUUUUUUUUUUUUUGGGGAAUUUUUUGGUUAUGGGUUUGAUGAGCUUGUCAAAAAAUGCAAAUGAGAUUUUCCUCUCCUAGAACUGAGUGAGAUAAAAUAUGAGUUUUGGGUAUGUACUAUGUCAUCAUAAUGUCAUAUUUCAAAUAGCAGAUAGAACCUUGCUCACACGAUAAUACUCAAUUGUUGGUUUUCUCCUGGCUUCUAUAUAACCCCUAAUAUUUGCUGGUUUUCUCCUUGAACGACAAUAAGAACCUAUGAGAAGUAUACAUGCACCAGUGGAAUCACAGGUAAAAAGGAGCAAUAAUGAUGGUUCCAAGGAGGUAAGUGAUAUAAUACUUGCAGUGAGGAAGAUGAAAAUGGAAGGUUGGGAAGCCCGAAUGCAAAUGAAGGAAAUAUUGGUUGUUAACCAUUUGAGGGUAUGGAAUUUUCAUCUGAGGAAGAAGAAAAAUUAUUCUAUAAUGAAUAUGCGAGGCGAAUGGGGUUUAGCAUGUGCAUGAGAAGUACGAAAAUAAUACAAUGUGAAGGGGUCAUGAGCUCUCGUAGAUUUCUAUGUUCCAGAGAAGGAUUUCGUACAAGGAAAGUUGAUAGUGGAAAACUUACUCGAAAGGUACCAGACACAAGAAUUGGUUAUAAAACAAUGAUAAAAAUAUGUAAGAAAGAUAUUGACAAGUGGGUUGUUACACGUUUUGAGAGAGACCACAAUCAUGUAUUUGUGAGCCCAAGUAAGGUGCGUUGUCUCUGAUCGCAUCAGACUAUUUCUGAAUGUGAGAGAAGUAUCAUCAAUACCUUUCAUAAAGCUGAGAUUUUUACUAAUAAUAUUAUGAAUGUCUUUAGAGUAGAAUCUGGUGGAGACUGUAAUUUAGGCUUAAUGGACCGUGAUUUUAGAAGUGAGCUUAGAAAGCUUAGAAAAAAAA